UACAGAGGGUGCAAGCGUUAAUCGGAAUUACUGGGCGUAAAGCGUGCGUAGUCGGUUAUCUAAGUCGGGUGUGAAAUCCCAGGGCUCAACCUUGGAAUUGCAUUCGAAACUGAAUAGCUAGAGUUCGGCAGAGGGAAGUGGAAUUUCCGGUGUAGCGGUGAAAUGCGUAGAUAUCGGAAGGAACAUCAGUGGCGAAAGCGACUUCCUGGACCAGAACUGACGAUCAGGCACGAAAGCGUGGGGAGCAAACAGG
rnacentral:rRNA from 1 species